rnacentral:rRNA from 1 species
AGUGAACGCUGGCGGUAGGCCUAACACAUGCAAGUCGAACGGCAGCACAGUAAGAGCUUGCUCUUACGGGUGGCGAGUGGCGGACGGGUGAGGAAUACAUCGGAAUCUACUUUUUCGUGGGGGAUAACGUAGGGAAACUUACGCUAAUACCGCAUACGACCUACGUGUGAAAGCAGAGGAUCUUCGGACCUUGCGCGAUUGAAUGAGCCGAUGUCGGAUUAGCUAGUUGGCGGGGUAAAGGCACACCAAGGCGACGAUCCGUAGCUGGUCUGAGAGGAUGAUCCGCCACACUGGAACUGAGACGCGGUCCAGACUCCUACGGGAGGCAGCAGUGGGGAAUAUUCGACAAUGGGCGCAAGCCUGCUCCAGCCAUGCCGCGUGGGUGAAGAAGGCCUUCGGGUUGUAAAGCCCUUUUGUCGGGAAAGAAAAUCAGCAGGUUAAUCCCCCGCUGUUCUGACGGUACCCAAAGAAUAAGCACCGGCUAACUUCGUG